GCCCGUGUGGCGCAGCGGCUUAGCGCGCUGCUCUUAUACCUUCGACUCAGGUUGUAGAUAUGCAGAGGUCCACAGUUCGAAUCUGUGUUCGGGCA